rnacentral:misc_RNA from 1 species
GAUGAAGAACGUAGCGAAAUGCGAUAAGUAAUGUGAAUUGCAGAAUUCAGUGAAUCAUCGAAUCUUUGAACGCACAUUGUGCCCUCUGGUAUUCCGGGGGGCAUGCCUGUUCGAGCGUCAUUACAACCCUCAAGCUUUGCUUGGUAUUGGACAUUGCCAGUUUCUGGCAGGUCUUAAAAUCAGUGGCGGUGCCAUUUGGCUUCAAGCGUAGUAAUUCUUCUCGCUUUGGAGAUCCAAGUGGUUACUUGCCAAUAACCCCCAAUUUUUUCAGGUUGACCUCGGAUCAGGUAGGGAUACCCGCUGAACUUAAGCAUAUCAAUAAGCGGAGGA